rnacentral:tRNA from 1 species
GCGCUGCCAGGCCGGUCGGUCGAGGUCCAGUUGCGCUCGGAUCGCGGCGAUGCGGGCCGGGUCGGGGUGGUCGCCGGCGAUCACCACGGCGGCGUCACC